UACGUAGAGUCCGAGCGUUGUCCGGAAUUAUUGGGCGUAAAGGGCUCGUAGGCGGUUUGUCGCGUCGGGAGUGAAAACACGGGGCUUAACCCCGUGCCUGCUUCCGAUACGGGCAGACUAGAGGUAUGCAGGGGAGAACGGAAUUCCUGGUGUAGCGGUGAAAUGCGCAGAUAUCAGGAGGAACACCGGUGGCGAAGGCGGUUCUCUGGGCAUUACCUGACGCUGAGGAGCGAAAGUGUGGGGAGCGAACAGG
rnacentral:rRNA from 1 species